GCCUUCGGAUCAGUUGUUACUUGAUGUACACAUGCAAGUCUCCGNCCCCCCUGUGAAAACGCCCUUNUAAUCCCUCCNAAGGGAUAAGGAGCUGGUAUCAGGCACNAAAAAUUAGCCCAAGACACCUAGCCAUGCCACACCCACACGGGAUUUNCAGCAGUGAUUAACAUUGUUUAUAAGCGCUNAGCUUGAAUCAGUCNAAAGUAAAAAGGGCCNGGCUAAUCUGGUGCCAGCCGCCGCGGUUACACCACGUGGCCCAAACUGANCCCCCUCCGGCGUAAAGCGUGAUUNAAAGNCCUUUUUCUAACUGCAAUCAAACUAAAACUAAGCUGUGACACGCUUGUNUACUAGGAAACUUAAGAAACGAAAGUCAUUGCANC
rnacentral:rRNA from 1 species